rnacentral:tRNA from 1 species
GAAGGCAUAGCUCAGUGGUAGAGUGUGUGCUUAGCAUGCAGGAGGUCUUGGGUUCAAUCCCCAGUACUUCCA